GAGACACGGUCCAGACUCCUACGGGAGGCAGCAGUGGGGAAUAUUGGACAAUGGGCGCAAGCCUGAUCCAGCCAUGCCGCGUGAGUGAUGAAGGCCUUAGGGUCGUAAAGCUCUUUCGCCAGGGAUGAUAAUGACAGUACCUGGUAAAGAAACCCCGGCUAACUCCGUGCCAGCAGCCGCGGUAAUACGGAGGGUGCGAGCGUUAAUCGGAAUUACUGGGCGUAAAGCGCACGCAGGCGGUUU
rnacentral:rRNA from 1 species